rnacentral:ncRNA from 1 species
AAGAGGACCUUCCGAAGCCGCUCUGCAGGGGGAGGCUUCAAACCACUCUAAGCUGCGUUGAUCAAAAGUCAAGGUGGUGAGCGUUAGAGAAAAGGUAUCUUAAAGAUAUCAG